rnacentral:rRNA from 1 species
UGAGGAAUAUUGGGCAAUGCCCGCAAGGGUGACCCAGCAACGCCGCGUGGAGGAUGAAUGUCGUAAGAUUGUAAACUCCUGUUAGAGGGGAAGAAUAGUACCGGUUGGACGGGUAUAUGACUGUACCCUCAGAGAAAGCCCCGGCUAACUACGUGCCAGCAGCCGCGGUAAUACGUAGGGGGCAAGCGUUGUCCGGAUUUACUGGGUGUAAAGGGCGCGCAGGCGGGAUAAAAAGUCAGUGGUGAAAUCCUACAGCUUAACUGUAGAACUGCCUUUGAUACUUUUAUUCUUGAGUUCGGGAGAGAGAGACGGAAUUCCAGGUGUAGUGGUGAAAUACGUAGAUAUCUGGAAGAACACCAGUUGCGAAGGCGGUCUCUUGGUCCGACACUGACGCUGAGGCGCGAAAGCGUGGGGAGCAAGCA